rnacentral:rRNA from 2 species
AGAGUUUGAUCCUGGCUCAGGACGAACGCUGGCGGUGUGCUUAACACAUGCAAGUCAAGGAGAAUUUUAUCUUCGGAUAAAUAGUAAACUGGCGAACGGGUGAGUAACGCGUAAAUAACUCGCCUCGGAGAUUGGGACAACAUUGGGAAACCAGUGCUAAUACCAAAUAAUGCAGCGGGCCCUUCGGGGCAUAGUUGUUAAAGUAGGCUUCGGCUUACACUUCGAGAUAGAUUUGCGUCCGAUUAGUUAGUUGGUAGGGUAAUAGCCUACCAAGACCGAGAUCGGUAGCUGGUCUGAGAGGAUGAUCAGCCACACUGGAAUUGAGAUACGGUCCAGACUCCUACGGGAGGCAGCAGUGAGGAAUUUUGCACAAUGGGCGAAAGCCUGAUGCAGCAACACCGCGUGAUUGAUGAAGUUUUUAGGAAUGUAAAAAUCUGUCGUAAGGGAAGAAAUGUUUCGGAUGUUAAUACCAUCUGUUACUGACGGUACCUUACAAGAAAGGACCGGCUAACUUCGUGCCAGCAGCCGCGGUAAUACGAGGGGUCCUAGCGUUGUCCGGAUUUACUGGGCGUAAAGGGUACGUAGGCGUUUUAAUAAGUUAUAUGUUAAAUAUCUUAGCUUAACUAAGAAAGUGCAUAUAAAACUGUUAAAWUAGAGUUUGAGAGAGGAACGCAGAAUUUCAUGGUGGAGCGGUGACAUGCGUAGAUAUCAUGAGGAAAGUCAAAUGCGAAGGCAGCCUUCUGGCUCAAAACUGACGCUGAGGUACGAAAGCGUGGGGAGCGAACAGGAUUAGAUACCCUGGUAGUCCACGCCGUAAACGAUGAGUAUUUGGUGCUGGGGGAUUCGACCCUUUCAGUGCCGUAGCUAACGCGAUAAAUACUCCGCCUGGGGACUACGAUCGCAAGAUUGAAACUCAAAGGAAUUGACGGGGACCCGCACAAGCGGUGGAACAUGUGGUUUAAUUCGAUGAUACGCGAAGAACCUUACCUGGGUUUGACAUGUCAGAGAAAGUUUUCCGAAAGGAAAUCCUUUUAAUAAUUUAUUAUUAAACUCUGUCACAGGUGAUGCAUGGCUGUCGUCAGCUCGUGUCGUGAGAUGUUAGGUUAAGUCCUGCAACGAGCGCAACCCCUAUAUUUAGUUGCCAGCACAUAAUGGUGGGGACUCUAAAUAGACUGCCCGGAAUAACCGGGAGGAAGGUGGGGAUGAUGUCAAGUCAGUAUGUCCCUUAUACCCAGGGCUACACACGUGUUACAAUGGAUGGUACAAAAAGUAGCAAUUCCGCGAGGAGGAGCCAAUCUUUAAAACUAUCCCCAGUUCAGAUUGAAGUCUGAAAUUCGACUUCAUGAAGCAGGAAUCGCUAGUAAUCGUAGGUCAGCACACUACGGUGAAUACGUUCCCGGGUCUUGUACACACCGCCCGUCAAGUCAUGGAAGUCUGCAGUACCCAAAGAUGGUAUCCUAACCGCAAGGAGGGAACUGUUUAAGGUAAGGCAGGUAACUGGGACUAAGUCGUAACAAGGUAACC